GACUGGCUCACCACCUCACCUAACAGUUAUUGGUGAUGGGUCAACCGAUGAGUGGACAACUCUUGUCCAAUGAUUCUCUAAUCAUGGUGCACCCAAAACUUGAUCUCUAAUUCAUGAAGCUCACCGUGUCCGAAAUAUUGCUCCAAUCUUUAGUUAAGUCAGACCCACCAUUUGCACGAACUAGUUUCUUGAUUGAGUCCCUCACCAUAUCCAAAAUAUUGAGCACAAUCCAUCCUCUAAUCCGUAGCAUCCAAUGCCUAAUGGACAUAGUUGCGUCUUUCCGGUGCAACUGAGCCACUGUAACCAGUCGAGAACAAUCAA
rnacentral:lncRNA from 1 species